GUAGAUAUAGUUUUAAUCAAGACAUUAGAUCGUGGCUCUAAAGACAGGGGUUGAAACCCCCUUAUUUACC
rnacentral:tRNA from 2 species